UGCCAGCAGCCGCGGUAAUACGGAGGGUGCAAGCGUUAAUCGGAAUCACUGGGCUUAAAGGGUACGUAGGCGGAUGUGUAGGUGUCUUGUGAAAUCCCUCGGCUUAACCGGGGAACUGCAGGGCAAACCACAUGUCUUGAGGCAGGUAGAGGUCGUCGGAACGAUAGGUGGAGCGGUGAAAUGCGUAGAUAUCUAUCGGAACGCCAACGGUGAAGACAGACGACUGGGCCUGUUCUGACGCUGAGGUACGAAAGCGUGGGGAGCGAACGGGAUUAGAUA
rnacentral:rRNA from 1 species